rnacentral:rRNA from 1 species
UACGUAGGGUGCGAGCGUUAAUCGGAAUUACUGGGCGUAAAGUGUGCGCAGGCGGCCGCGCAAGUCGAGUGUGAAAGCCCCGAGCUUAACUUGGGAAUUGCGCUCGAAACUACGUGGCUGGAGUGUGGCAGAGGAAGGUGGAAUUCCACGUGUAGCGGUGAAAUGCGUAGAGAUGUGGAGGAACACCGAUGGCGAAGGCAGCCUUCUGGGCCAACACUGACGCUCAUGCACGAAAGCGUGGGGGAGCAAACAGG